AAAGGGAGACCUAAUUCAGGUAGGAGACGAAAAAAAAGUAGUCCCUACCAAGAAUCAAUCCCAAAAGGUCGGAACGAGGUAUGAGGCUUUCAAACUAGGUUCUGGGUUCAUAAAAGACCUGAAUCAGGAACAAGGGCUAUUAGCUCAGGUGGUUAGAGCGCACCCCUGAUAAGGGUGAGGUCCCUGGUUCGAGUCCAGGAUGGCCCACCUGCACAGGUGGCAAAAACAAAAGAAGCGAGGAAUCAGCACCUUAUCUUAUAUACAUAUAUAAGAGAGAAUGCUGGCUCUGAGUACAGAGUCCAGAGGAACCUUGAAAACUGCAUAGAGCUAGGUGAAAAAGCCAAAAAAGAAGACCGCAAG
rnacentral:tRNA from 1 species